rnacentral:rRNA from 1 species
GUUGUAUGGUUAAGUGACUAAGCGUACAUGGUGGAUGCCUUGGCAGUCAGAGGCGAUGAAGGACGUACUAACCUGCGAUAAGCCGUGAGCAGUCGGUAAGAGACAUUACGACUCACGGAUUUCCGAAUGGGGAAACCCACUUAGCAUAAGCUAGGUAUCGCUACGUGAAUACAUAGCGUAGCGAGGCGAACCGGGAGAACUGAAACAUCUAAGUACCCCGAGGAAAAGAAAUCAACCGAGAUUCCCUCAGUAGCGGCGAGCGAACGGGGAUUAGCCCUUAAGCAUCUUGGAAGUUAGUGGAACGGUCCUGGAAAGGCCGGCGAUACAGGGUGAUAGCCCCGUACACGAAAACAACCUUGAUGUGAAAUCGAGUAGGGCGGGACACGUGACAUCCUGUCUGAAUAUGGGGGGACCAUCCUCCAAGGCUAAAUACUCCUGACUGACCGAUAGUGAACCAGUACCGUGAGGGAAAGGCGAAAAGAACCCCUGUGAGGGGAGUGAAAUAGAACCUGAAACCGUGUACGUACAAGCAGUGGGAGCCCUUCGGGGUGACUGCGUACCUUUUGUAUAAUGGGUCAGCGACUUACAUUUUGUAGCGAGGUUAACCGUAUAGGGGAGCCGUAGGGAAACCGAGUCUUAACUGGGCGUCUAGUUGCAAGGUGUAGACCCGAAACCGGGUGAUCUAGCCAUGGGCAGGUUGAAGGUUGAGUAACAUCAACUGGAGGACCGAACCCACUAACGUUGCAAAGUUAGGGGAUGACCUGUGGCUGGGGGUGAAAGGCCAAUCAAACUCGGAGAUAGCUGGUUCUCCCCGAAAGCUAUUUAGGUAGCGCCUCGGACGAAUACUACUGGGGGUAGAGCACUGUUUGGGCUAGGGGGUCAUCCCGACUUACCAACCCCAUGCAAACUCCGAAUACCAGUAAGUACUAUCCGGGAGACACACGGCGGGUGCUAACGUCCGUCGUGAAGAGGGAAUUUAAAGAAAGCGUAAUAGCUCACUAGUCGAGUCGGCCUGCGCGGAAGAUGUAACGGGGCUCAAACCAGGCACCGAAGCCGCGGAUUCACACUAAGUGUGAGUGGUAGGGGAGCGUUCUGUAAGUCUGCGAAGGUGUAUCGAGAGGUAUGCUGGAGAUAUCAGAAGUGCGAAUGCUGACGUAAGUAACGAUAAAGGGGGUGAAAAGCCUCCUCGCCGGAAGACCAAGGGUUCCUGUCCAACGUUAAUCGGGGCAGGGUGAGUCGACCCCUAAGGUGAGGCCGAAAGGCGUAAUCGAUGGGAAGCAGGUUAAUAUUCCUGCACGACUUGUAAUUGCGAUGGGGGGACGGAGAAGGCUAGGUGGGCCAGGCGACGGUUGUCCUGGUGAAAGUGCGUAGGUGGUGUUUCUAGGCAAAUCCGGAGACACAACACUGAGACACGAGACGAACGCACUACGGUGCGGAAGCCAUUGAUGCCCUGCUUCCAGGAAAAGCCUCUAAGCUUCAGAUUACAAGUCAUCGUACCCCAAACCGACACAGGUGGUCGGGUAGAGAAUACCAAGGCGCUUGAGAGAACUCGGGUGAAGGAACUAGGCAAAAUAGAACCGUAACUUCGGGAGAAGGUUCGCUCUUGAUGGUGAAGUCCCUUGCGGAUGGAGCUGUCGGGAGUCGCAGUGACCAGAUGGCUGGGACUGUUUAUCAAAAACACAGCACUCUGCAAACACGAAAGUGGACGUAUAGGGUGUGACACCUGCCCGGUGCCGGAAGGUUAAUUGAUGGGGUUAGCGCAAGCGAAGCUCUUGAUCGAAGCCCCGGUAAACGGCGGCCGUAACUAUAACGGUCCUAAGGUAGCGAAAUUCCUUGUCGGGUAAGUUCCGACCUGCACGAAUGGUGUAACCAUGGCCAUGCUGUCUCCACCCGAGACUCAGUGAAAUCGAAUUCGCCGUGAAGAUGCGGUGUACCCGCGGCUAGACGGAAAGACCCCGUGAACCUUUACUACAGCUUGGCACUGAACAUUGAACCUACAUGUGUAGGAUAGGUGGGAGGCUUUGAAGGCGUGACGCCAGUUGCGCUGGAGCCGUCCUUGAAAUACCACCCUUGUAUGUUUGAUGUUCUAACGCAGGGCCCUGAAUCGGGCUCGCGGACAGUGCCUGGUGGGUAGUUUGACUGGGGCGGUCUCCUCCCAAAGAGUAACGGAGGAGCACGAAGGUUGGCUAAUCCUGGUCGGACAUCAGGAGGUUAGUGCAAUGGCAUAAGCCAGCUUAACUGCGAGACGGACAGGUCGAGCAGGUACGAAAGUAGGUCAUAGUGAUCCGGUGGUUCUGAAUGGAAGGGCCAUCGCUCAACGGAUAAAAGGUACUCCGGGGAUAACAGGCUGAUACCGCCCAAGAGUUCAUAUCGACGGCGGUGUUUGGCACCUCGAUGUCGGCUCAUCACAUCCUGGGGCUGAAGUCGGUCCCAAGGGUAUGGCUGUUCGCCAUUUAAAGUGGUACGCGAGCUGGGUUCAGAACGUCGUGAGACAGUUCGGUCCCUAUCUGCCGUGGGCGUUGGAUGAUUGAAGGGAGUUGCUCCUAGUACGAGAGGACCGGAGUGAACGAACCUCUGGUGUUCGGGUUGUCACGCCAGUGGCACUGCCCGGUAGCUAAGUUCGGAAUCGAUAACCGCUGAAAGCAUCUAAGCGGGAAGCGAGCCCUGAGAUGAGUCAUCCCUGACCCCUUGAGGGUCCUAAAGGGCCGUUGGAGACCACAACGUUGAUAGGUGGGGUGUGUAAGCGUAGCGAUACGUUGAGCUAACCCAUACUAAUUACCCGUGAGGCUUAACCAUACAACACCCAAGAAGUGUU